rnacentral:rRNA from 1 species
UACGGAGGGUGCGAGCGUUAAUCGGAAUUACUGGGCGUAAAGGGCGCGUAGGCGGUUUGUUGGGUCUGAUGUGAAAGCCCUGGGCUUAACCUGGGAACUGCAUUGGAAACUGGCAGGCUAGAGUGUGGUAGAGGGGUGUGGAAUUUCCGGUGUAGCAGUGAAAUGCGUAGAGAUCGGAAGGAACACCAGUGGCGAAGGCGGCACCCUGGACCGACACUGACGCUGAGGCGCGAAAGCGUGGGGAGCAAAC